UAGUCUUCUUUUGUCCUUCCAUAUAGAGGGGGAUCAUUGAAUUGUGCACCUUCAUGCCUCCCAGGCCCAGUGCCCCCUCGUGCAGCUGUGCCCACCCCUGCUGCCCGGCCCUGUGUCUGUUCCGGAGGCACUGGCCACUGCCUUGCCCUGCCCCACCCAAACCAACAUGCUCUUCUGUGUUAGAUUCUGCGUGGCUGCAGGGGUACUAUGGGCUCUGCAGGAUUGAGUCACAGUUUGAACCGCAGCAGUAAAAUAAUCCCUGCAGCCUCAAUAAAAAGAUGCUGUACCUAAUUUCCAGACUAAUGCCAGAUGCGAGGAGGUUGCCGAUUGAAGCGAGUGGGGAAUCUGAUCAUGUGGAGGCAGACAGACAGGGUGAGCAGGAGAAUCAUGGGUUGUGGAAAAGUGUUACUGACACAAAUACGACUGGGAGGAAAUCUGACUUGGCGCUAUGGAAACACGCCCCCCUUCCGUCUCCUAGUAAAACUCCCAGAAUACCAGGUGAGGCAACAGAUUAAAACCUGCACAGUCUAAAACCUUGUCGUAAAGCAUAGACCUCCUCAAAGUUGUCCGUGCCCCUUUGGAACACAUUGGCUGAUAUUGAUGAUACAUUUUAUAGCCAUUUGU